GUAGGGAAUAUUGCACAAUGGGCGCAAGCCUGAUGCAGCAACGCCGCGUGCACGACGAAGGCCUUCGGGUCGUAAAGUGCUUUUCUGGAGGAGGAGGAAGGACCGUACUCCAGGAAUAAGUCUCGGCUAACUACGUGCCAGCAGCCGCGGUAAAACGUAGGAGACAAGCGUUAUCCGAAUUUACUGGGCGUAAAGCGCAUGCAGGUGGUUCGGUAAGUGGCGUGUGAAAUCUCCCGGCUCAACUGGGCGAGGACGCGCCAAACUGUCGGACUAGAGGGCGGUAGAGGGAGGUGGAAUUCCCGGUGUAGUGGUGAAAUGCGUAGAUAUCGGGAGGAACACCUGUGGCGAAAGCGGCCUCCUGGACCGUACCUGACGCUCAGAUGCGAAAGCUAGGGGAGCGAACGGGAUUAGAAACCCUAGUAGUCC
rnacentral:rRNA from 1 species